rnacentral:rRNA from 1 species
AACGGGUGAGUAACACGUGAGUAACCUGCCCUUCACUCUGGGAUAACGUCGGGAAACCGGGGCUAAUACCGGAUACGACCACUGAUGACAUCUUCUGGUGGUGGAAAGAAUUUCGGCCAAGGAUGGGCCCGCGGCCUAUCAGCUUGUUGGUGGGGUAAUGGCCUACCAAGGCGACGACGGGUAGCCGGCCUGAGAGGGCGACCGGCCACACUGGGACUGAGACACGGCCCAGACUCCUACGGGAGGCAGCAGUGGGGAAUAUUGCGCAAUGGGCGAAAGCCUGACGCAGCGACGCCGCGUGAGGGAUGAAGGCCUUCGGGUUGUAAACCUCUUUCAGCAGGGACGAAGCGAAAGUGACGGUACCUGCAGAAGAAGCACCGGCCAACUACGUGCCAGCAGCCGCGGUAAUACGUAGGGUGCAAGCGUUGUCCGGAAUUAUUGGGCGUAAAGAGCUCGUAGGCGGUUUGUCGCGUCGGCUGUGAAAACCUGAGGCUCAACCUCGGGCCUGCAGUCGAUACGGGCAAACUAGAGUUCGGUAGGGGAGACUGGAAUUCCUGGUGUAGCGGUGGAAUGCGCAGAUAUCAGGAGGAACACCGGUGGCGAAGGCGGGUCUCUGGGCCGAAACUGAC